AACUUUCAGCAACGGAUCUCUUGGCUCUCGCAUCGAUGAAGAACGCAGCGAAAUGCGAUACGUAAUGUGAAUCGCAGAAUUCAGUGAAUCAUCGAAUCUUUGAACGCACCUUGCGCCCCUUGGAAUUCCGAGGGGCACACCCGUUUGAGUGUCGUGAACAUCCUUCAACCUUUCUUGGUUUCUUAACCGGGGAAGGCUUGGACUUUGGGGGUCUUUCAUUGCUGGCCUCUUUGAAGCCAGCUCCUCCUAAAUGGAUUAGUGUGGUCUGCUUUGCCGAUCCUUGACGUGAUAAGAUGUUUCUACGUCUUGGGUUUCGCACUGUCGCUUUAGACCCCGCUUCUAACCGUCUUGCAUUCAAGACAGAGUUUUAAACCUUGACCUCAAAUCGGGUGAGACUACCCGCUGAACUUAAGCAUAUCAAUAAGCGGAGGCU
rnacentral:misc_RNA from 1 species